ACCAGACUCCUACGGGAGGCAGCAGUGGGGAAUAUUGCGCAAUGGGCGAAAGCCUGACGCAGCGACGCCGCGUGAAGGAAGAAGGCUUUCGGGUUGUAAACUUCUUUUGACAGGGAAGAGUAGAAGACGGUACCUGUCGAAUAAGCCACGGCUAACUACGUGCCAGCAGCCGCGGGAAUACGUAGGGGGCAAGCGUUAUCCGGAUUUACUGGGUGUAAAGGGAGCGUAGACGGCAGAGCAAGUCUGAAGUGAAAGCCCGCGGCCCAACUGCGGGACUGCUUUGGAAACUGCCCGGCUAGAGUGCUGGAGAGGUAAGCGGAAUUCCUAGUGUAGCGGUGAAAUGCGUAGAUAUUAGGAGGAACACCAGUGGCGAAGGCGGCUUACUGGACAGUAACUGACGUUGAGGCUCGAAAGCGUGGGGAGCAAACAGGAUUAGAUACCCCUGUA
rnacentral:rRNA from 1 species